GGAGUUGUGGCUCAGUGGUAGAGCACAUGCCUUGCAAGUGUGAGGCACUGGGUUCGAUCUUCAGCACCA
rnacentral:tRNA from 1 species